GGUCAUUGGCGAUCCCGUCGCCCCGACACAGCGUCGUACUACGCUGGGACGCGUUCCAUUCACUACCGUCGUCUCCUUCUCCCUCUAACCAUCCGCCCGACGAGGACGCACCGGGGCUUUACCGUCGGUCGAACGAGGACGCGUAGAGCUUAGAAAAUUUUUGAGCGACAACCUCGGUACCUACUCUCGAGUCUCGACUGCUCGCCGUGGCGUCGCUCGUUUAACUCGCCUCCGGCGUUUCGGAAACAAAGACGGCACUCUGCUCACCCUGCCGCGCAGGAGCAGGAUAAGUAGCGUGCGAGAGGGAGGCAGAGAGAGAGAGAGAGCGAGACAAAAAAAAAACAAGACCUUUCGUUAGACUCUGUUGUGUGUACAGUACCUACACGUAGUUUCAUCGUGCCGAAACGUGCCCAAAAAUAUUUGGGAGGAAUGGACAAGUAAUCAUCUUGUAUCCCGGGAUGACGAGUAAUGAAAAUAUACCUCGCGCCUCUGCCUGGACAUGAGAUCGAGCAACUGAUUAACCAAAAAACUUGGUGGUAAUGCCGGCACUCCACCUCGAGGAAUAGUGAUCAGUUCUCGACAAAUAGGACAUCGGAAUGCUCCAGCUUCUCUGGUUUGUGACGCAGCGAUCCUUGUCAGACAAUGGAGACAAACCUGGGAGGAAAUACGAGAGGUGUGAUUCGGUUAAAAAAAAAAUCAAACAGAUUAAGAAAUUUGUACAUAAUACAUUUAUACAACGAUUACCAACCGUAUGCGAA